rnacentral:rRNA from 1 species
GACGGGGCCCGCACAAGCGGUGGAGCUACGUGGUUUAAUCGAUGCAAACCGAAGAACCUUACCUGGGUUUGACAUGUACGUGGUACGGAUAUGAAAGUUGAAGGACUCCGCUUUCGGGUGGAGAGCGUACACAGGUGCUGCAUGGCUGUCGUCAGCUCGUGUCGUGAGAUGUUGGGUUAAGUCCCGCAACGAGCGCAACCCUUGCCUUUAGUUGCCAGCAGUUCGGCUGGGCACUCUAAAGGGACUGCCGGUGUUAAACCGGAGGAAGGUGGGGAUGACGUCAAGUCCUCAUGGCCUUUAUGACCAGGGCUACACACGUACUACAAUGGCCGAUACAAAGGGCAGCGACACUGCGAGGUGAAGCCAAUCCCGUAAAAUCGGUCUCAGUCCGGAUUGGAGUCUGCAACUCGACUCCAUGAAGUUGGAAUCGCUAGUAAUCGUGGAUCAGCAUGCCACGGUGAAUACGUUCCCGGGCCUU